rnacentral:rRNA from 1 species
GACAGAGGUGCCAAGCGUUAGGCGGAAUCACUGGGCUUAAAGCGUGUGUAGGUGGACCUGUAAGUACCUUGUGAAAUCCCACGGCUUAACCGUGGAACUGCUCGGUAUACUGCGGGUCUUGAGGUGCCUAGGGGCGAGCGGAACAAAUGGUGGAGCGGUGAAAUGCGUAGAUAUCAUUUGGAACGCCAAUGGUGAAACAGCUCGCUGGGCAUCCUGACACUGGAGACACGAAAGCCAGGGGAGCAAACGGG